CCUACGGGAGGCAGCAGUGGGGAAUAUUGCACAAUGGGGGGAACCCUGAUGCAGCGAUGCCGCGUGGGUGAAGGAGUAUUUCGGUAUGUAAAGCCCUAUCAGCAGGGAAGAACAAUGACGGUACCUGACUAAGAAGCACCGGCUAAAUACGUGCCAGCAGCCGCGGUAAUACGUAUGGUGCAAGCGUUAUCCGGAUUUACUGGGUGUAAAGGGAGCGAAGGCGGCGCGUUAAGCCUGGUGUGAAAGUCCGCGGCCCAACCGCGGGACUGCAUUGGAAACUGGCGCGCUGGAGUGCCGGAGGGGUAGGCGGAAUUCCUAGUGUAGCGGUGAAAUGCGUAGAUAUUAGGCGGAACACCAGUGGCGAAGGCGGCCUACUGGACGGUGACUGACGCUGAGGCUCGAAAGCGUGGGGAGCAAACAGGAUUAGAUACCCUGGUAGUC
rnacentral:rRNA from 1 species